GAUCUGGAAAGCUCCGGUUCCACACAAAGCAAAAAUGACUGCUUGGAGGAUUAUGAAAGGAAGAAUGGCUACUUGCGAUAACCUCGUUCGAAGACAUGUACUCAACACUUCUCCGGAAACGGACUGCAUAUUUUGUCAUUCUCAGAUGGAGGAUCUGGAGCAUAUUCUCUUUCUUUGUGAAAAAAUAGGAGAGAUUUGGAAUGCGUUUCUUCGGUGGAUUGGUAAGAGCUCGGCUUUACAUCACAGUGCAAAAGAACACUUCCUUGCUUUCAUUGGUCUUGGGAAUAAAGCUGAAACUCGAUUCCUUACUGGUUUGUGGAUUAGCAUUGUUUGGAGCAUUUAGAAAGUGAGAAAUAACUGUAUCUUCAAGCAAGGUGUGUGGAACAAAGAUAAAUUGGUUUUGGAGAUCAAGAAGAAACUUUGGAGUUGGAAAAUGAUUUUUAAGCUGGAGGCGCCUGUUUUGGAUCUCCAAUCCUGGCUCUCGCUUGAAGGGAUCUUGAGUUGAUAGUUCGUGACGCGUUGGUGGCUCCUGCCUUUGUGUUUUCCUGGUUGUUUGGCUUGUUCUCUCUGUCUGGUUGCUGUCUGUAUUAACUCUUGGUACUUCUUGUACCUUCCAGUUAUUUAAUUGCACUUUUUUCUGAUUUAAAAAAAAAUGGAUAGUAGUCAGCAAACCAAUUAGUUAGGCAUGUUGGAGAAUUUCAGUAAAUUCUUCCUCCAUUAGAUCUUCCGUACAUUGCAUUCCCUCAUUUUACGGAAAUGUCUUACCUACACCCUUCGCACUACACAUCGCCGCUAGGAUGCGGACACGUCGCCCCUUGAAUAAACCAUUCGGGUUGCCUUUAUCUUCGACCAGACCGGUUCGCUUUAUUAAAAUACCAUCGAUUCUAUUUCAGUACUGUUUAUCCCAAUACCGCUUUGAGCUUUGGAAUUGGUGCGUGGCUUGGAUAAGACAUGUCAUCUAUAUAGUCCGGGAACAUCAACCUUGAACACAUGGGCCUCUGUCGUCUCUUUCCAGUUGAUGCGGGCAUCGGCCAUCGGUUCACCGCGGUAGUCUCACGGGCGGUGGAGGGGAGGUUGGAGAGAAGAAAUCCCUCGAAGGGAUCCCAUAUAUCGAGGCAGAAUGGAUUGUAGAUGUUGUUGCGGCAACUGCCGAAGAAGCUCAGAAUCAUAGACAUUUUUCGCUUUCUAUUUUGGUUGUUAAUGGAUCUUCAGUCAAGACGAGGAAGGAAAAGCUGGGUGGGUGGAGGUUGAAGGGGGAAAUACUGUACAGGCGACGGCGAGAGUAAUCAGACGGCAGGGGACAGGGGUCAGCGAAGUUACAGGAUGAAGAAGAGAGAGAGAGAGAUUUACAGAAGAGAGAGAAAGAAAGAGAGAUUUACAGAAGAGAGAGAGUUCACGUCUAUGUGUAGUGGAGAGGAGAGGAGAGGAGAGAGAGUAUUUAAAGUAUUUUUUUAAUAAAAUAUUAUUAAUACUAAACUAUAGGAUUUAUGUAAACUAAUAUAUAUAGUGGUAAUGUAUAUAUAUAUAUAUAUAUAUAUAUAUAUAUACAUACGAGUAUAUCUAUAAUAAUUAUUCUCUUAUAUUUC